AAAGAGUAAAAAUAUAUUUCGAUAAUAAAGUUUUUUGUUUUUAACUUUCUUUUCAUUCGAUGUUUCUCUUUUCAUCUUUCCUUUAAGAAGAGG
rnacentral:ribozyme from 1 species